AGGGUUUGAUCCUGGCUCAGAACGAACGCUGGCGGCGUGGCUAAGACAUGCAAGUCGAACGGACUAUGCAAUUGAGUAAUCAAGCGUAUAGUUAGUGGCGAAAGGGUUAGUAAUGGCUAGGUAACGUACCCCGUGCUCCGGGAUAGCUAUUCGAAAGGGUAGGUAAUACCGGAUAACAUCGUGAAUCGAUAGGUUUGCGAUCAAAGAUUUAUCGGCGUGGGAGCGGCCUAGUUCCUAUCAGCUUGUUGGUGAGGUAAUGGCUCACCAAGGCAUCGACGGGUAGCGGGACUGAGAGGUUGGCCCGCAACAUCGGAACUGAGACACUGUCCGGACCUCCACGGAGGGCUGCAGUAACGAAUAUUGCGCAAUGGGCGAAAGCCUGACGCAGCGACGCCGCGUGUGGGAUGAAGUUUUUCGGAAUGUAAACCACUUUUCGGGUUAAGAAAGUCUUCGGAUUGAUCUACCCCGGAAUAAGUCACGGCUAACUUCGUGCCAGCAGCCGCGGUAAGACGAAGGUGGCAAGCGUUGUUCGGUAUUACUGGGCUUAAAGCGUGUGUAGGCGGAAAUGUAAGCGUUUUGUGAAAUCCCUCGGCUCAACCGAGGAAUUGCUUGGCGAACUACAUUUCUUGAGGCAAGUAGGGGUACACGGAACUCUUGGUGGAGCGGUGGAAUGCGUAGAUAUCAAGAGGAACGCCGGUGGAGAAGUCGGUGUACUGGGCUUGUCCUGACGCUGAGACACGAAAGCGUGGGGAGCAAACAGGAUUAGAUACCCUGGUAGUCCACGCUGUAAACGAUGUCUACUAGGUCGUGCGGGUUCUGACGCCGGCACGGCCGAAGCUAAAGUGUUAAGUAGACCGCCUGGGGAGUACGGUCGCAAGGCUAAAACUCAAAGGAAUUGACGGGGGCUCACACAAGCGGUGGAGCAUGUGGAUUAAUUCGAAACAACGCGCAGAACCUUACCUGGGUUUGACAUGCUUGGAUGCUCUUUGGGAAACCAGAGUAGGCUGCCCUUCGGGGUGAAACUUGCACAGGUGCUGCAUGGCUGUCGUCAGCUCGUGUCGUGAGAUGUUGGGUUAAGUCCUUUAACGAGCGAAACCCUUACCGUUAGUUGCCAGCGAGUCAUGUCGGGGACUCUAACGGGACUGCCGGUGUUAAACCGGAGGAAGGUGGGGAUGACGUCAAGUCCUCAUGGCCUUUAUGCCCAGGGCUUCACACGUGCUACAAUGGUUCGGACAGAGCGACGCAAGACCGCGAGGUGGAGCAAAUCGCAAAAACCGAGCCUCAGUUCGGAUUGCAGGCUGGCAACUCGCCUGCAUGAAGGUGGAAUCGCUAGUAAUCGCGUGUCAGCUAUAACGCGGUGAAUGUGUUCCUGAGCCUUGUACACACCGCCCGUCAAGUGAUGGGAGUUGGGAGUACCCGAAGUCGGAUUGCUAACCAGCAAUGGGGGCGUCUGCCGACGGUAAGCCCGAUGACUGGCACUAAGUCGAAACAAGGUA
rnacentral:rRNA from 1 species